rnacentral:misc_RNA from 1 species
AACGCAAGUGGCGCUUUCGGGUUACGCCUGGAAGCAUGCCUCUUUGAGUAUCGUUUCUGAUCUUCUCGCUCGGCGUGCUUGUAUGAGCAUGCUCGGGUGGAGCAUGAGUUGUUUCUUGCUUCGCGGCAGGAAUCACUUGAAGUGCAAUAGGGAGUCUAGCGUAGGCACAUACCAAACAGGCCUAGUGCUCGGCGUGAUCCCCUUGACGUGGUUAAUAACCCAACGUUGAGGUGUGUUCGUUGCCACAAGAGCCUAGGACUGGUGCCACAACACUAGUCUCGUCUGGAGUAACCUCCCACCAGAGGCAACAAGCUCCAACACCAAAAAACAUGAUCUCAAAUGAGGCAAGAGUACCCGCUGAACUUAA